CCCGUACGGGGAAGGGGGGGGAUCUUCGGACCUCUCGCUAUCAGAUGAGCCCAUGUCAGAUUAGCUAGUUGGUAGGGUAAAGGCCUACCAAGGCGACGAUCUGUAACUGGUCUGAGAGGAUGAUCAGUCACACUGGAACUGAGACACGGUCCAGACUCCUACGGGAGGCAGCAGUGGGGAAUAUUGGACAAUGGGCGCAAGCCUGAUCCAGCCAUGCCGCGUGUGUGAAGAAGGCCCUUGGGUUGUAAAGCACUUUCAGUGGGGAGAAAGGUCUGGAACCUAAUACGUUUUGGAAUUGAUGUUACCCACAGAAGAAGCACCGGCUAACUCCGUG
rnacentral:rRNA from 1 species